GAUGAACGCUGACAGAAUGCUUAACACAUGCAAGUCAACUUGAAUUUGGGUUUUUAACUUAGGUUUGGGUGGCGGACGGGUGAGUAACGCGUAAAGAACUUGCCUCACAGCUAGGGACAACAUUUGGAAACGAAUGCUAAUACCUAAUAUUAUGAUAAUAGGGCAUCCUAUAAUUAUGAAAGCUAUAAGCGCUGUGAGAGAGCUUUGCGUCCCAUUAGCUAGUUGGAGAGGUAACGGCUCACCAAGGCGAUGAUGGGUAGCCGGCCUGAGAGGGUGAUCGGCCACAAGGGGACUGAGACACGGCCCUUACUCCUACGGGCGGCAGCAGUGGGGAAUAUUGGACAAUGGACCGAGAGUCUGAUCCAGCAAUUCUGUGUGCACGAUGAAGUUUUUCGGAAUGUAAAGUGCUUUCAGUUGGGAAGAAACAAAUGACGGUACCAACAGAAGAAGUGACGGCUAAAUACGUG
rnacentral:rRNA from 1 species